CAGGACGAACGCUGGCGGCGUGCCUAACACAUGCAAGUCGAACGGGGAUUUGUUUCGGCAGAAUCCUAGUGGCGAACGGGUGAGUAACGCGUAGGCAACCUGCCCUCCGGCCGGGGACAACACUCCGAAAGGGGUGCUAAUACCGGAUACGAAGUCUGUGCCGCAUGGUACGGAUUUGAAAGAUGGCCUCUAUUUAUAAGCUAUCGCCGGGGGAUGGGCCUGCGUCCGAUUAGCUGGUUGGUGGGGUAACGGCCUACCAAGGCGACGAUCGGUAGCCGGUCUGAGAGGAUGAACGGCCACAUUGGGACUGAGACACGGCCCAGACUCCUACGGGAGGCAGCAGUGGGGAAUCUUCCGCAAUGGGCGCAAGCCUGACGGAGCAACGCCGCGUGAGUGAGGAAGUUCUUCGGAACGUAAAGCUCUGUUGUUCCUGACGAACCUCCCUUCUAUCAACAACGGAAGGGACUGACGGUAGGGAACGAGGAAGCCACGGCUAACUACGUGCCAGCCGCCGC
rnacentral:rRNA from 1 species